GUCUAUGGCCAUACCACCCUGAAUGCAUUGGAUCUUGUCUGAUCUUGGAAGCUAAAGCAGGGUCAGGCCUGGUCACUACUUGGUUGAGAGACUGCCUGGGAGUAUCGGGUGCUGUAGCCU
rnacentral:rRNA from 1 species